AUAUAUUACAGAACAACAGGAAGUAGCUCAAGAGAUCAGUGAUGCCAUCUCAAAACCUUUUGAUGAUCAGUUUGAUGAGAGCUGGCAGAGUUGGAACAGGAAGAACUAGAAGACAGUAUGAAGAAUAUGGGCAGAUUACCAAGUGUACCAACCACCAAACUGCCCAGUGCAAGACAAAGCACAAAGAAGACCACAUAGCAAAUGUCUUCUGGCCCAGAUAUGGGCCACACAAUCACUUUUCCCUCGGCCCAAGUACCGCAAAGAAUGAUAGCCCAGAAGUGGCCCAGAACUGGAUUAAAGACUCGGGCCACACAUGGGCCAUAACAAGCCCGAAUCUCAGCCAGUUAAUCAGCCUUAGCUGGCCUUGAUCUGGGCCAAAACAGGUUUUAUUAUUGGUGCCAAAUCUCAGCCUUAAGUAAACCAGAAUCCCCAAACCUGAGCCACACCUGAGCCUUAUAUAGUCCAGACCCAACCCAGACAGCAAGCAUUGUCGGCCCGAAUGGAUUUCACGUGGGCCGGAUCUGGGCCAAUACUAUAUUGCUGUCUGGGAAUUUUAAUAUUUCAUAUUAUUACCUUGUGUAUUACUAUGAUCGCAAUUAUUCAUUUUGUGACAUGCUUUAAUGUACACACAAUCUAUGCCAAUAAAGUACAUUAAACUGAAUAGAAAAUCUGACUUAAAACCCACACAUCAUGUAAGUGUGCAAUAAAAAAACGUUUUUCAAUUUAUUUUUAUAGAGAACAAAUCAACCAAUAAAGAGUGAGUGUAUAAAGUAUACAGUCUAUAAGAGAAAGGUAACGUUUCUCAUUCAAAUCACGCAUCACCAGAAACACGGCAUGUCGUAAUCUCCGACAAAACCGGCGAGAGCCAAUGAGCGUUUGACAUCGCUGCUGUAAAACUUGUUGUAAAACUUAUUAACGGCACAUUUUAAACUGUUACUGUAGCUACAGAGGAAGGAGAUACCUAUCGUAGAUGAAUGCGGUUUGAAUUUAGAUCUGUUUCUCACACCAAACAUCAAAUGGAUACAGGAUUUAAAUAAAAAUGAAAUACUUUCAUGAUCAUAUUAUUUAAUGCUUGUGCAUAACAGCAUACUAAUAAAAAGCAUGUGCCCCCACUCUCUAUUAUAGAUCAUAGAUUAUAGUGUCCCAUAGUAAACCAAAUAAAUAUUACAUGAUAACAGUUAAAUACUCUCUCUCUCUUUCUUUUCAUGUAAGGAUUCUAAGAUUAUUUGUACCAAGAAUACUAAUAUAAAAUGUAAUAAAAUUAUAAUUAAGUGAAUUUUAAUGCACUUGACUGAUUUGCUUAAUUUUU